NNNNNNNNNNNNNNNNNNNNNNNNNNNNNNNNNNNNNNNNNNNNNNNNNAUAGAUAGAUAGACAGUAUAUAUAUAUAUAUAUAUAUAUAUAUAUAUCCCACAUGUCAUUCGGGCUCGAGAAAUGCAGCCGGAUGGUGACAAAGAGAGGCAAGGUAGUCCACACAGAAGGGGUCUCACUCCCAGAAGGAACAAUAGCAGACAUCGAGGACAGUUACAAGUACCUCGGAAUUCCACAGGCAAAUGGCAACCUGGAGCAGGCAACAAGGAAAGCUGCAACAGCUAAAUACCUCCAACGGGUAAGGCAAGUCCUGAGAAGCCAGCUCAAUGGCAAAAAUAAGACCCGGGCAAUAAACAGCUACGCACUGCCAGUUAUCAGAUACCCUGCAGGAAUAAUAAGAUGGCCAAAGGAAGAGGUACAGACCACGGAUGUUAAGACACGAAAGCUCCUCACCAUGCAUGGAGGGUUCCAUCCCAAAUCCAGCACCCUGAGACUGUAUGCUAGCCGCAAGGAAGGAGGCCGAGGACUAGUGAGCGUAGAAGCCACUAUCCAGGAUGAAACAUCCAAGAUGCAUGAGUACAUCAAGCUCAAGGCCCCGACUGACAGUGUGCUCAGUGAAUGUCUCAGGCAAUGGAGAGCAGAGGAUACAGUGCUGGAGGACAGAUCCUCAUGGAAGGACAAACCCCUGCAUGGGAUGUACCACCGGACCAUAACUGAAGUGGCUGAUAUCAAGAAGUCCUACCAAUGGCUAGAGAGGGCUGGCCUACAGGACAGCACUGAGGCACUCAUCCUGGCAGCUCAGGAACAAGCCCUGAGCACCAGAGCCAUAGAGGCUCAGAUCUACCACACCAGACAAGACCCAAGGUGUAGGCUGUGCAAAGAGGCACCUGAAACAAUCCAGCACAUAACUGCAGGGUAUAAGAUGCUGGCAGGUAAAGCAUACAUGGAGCGCCACAAUCAAGUGGCUGGAAUAAUAUACAGGAACAUGUGUGCAGAAUAUGGACUGGAAACCCCAAGGUCAAAAUGGGAAACACCCCCGAAGGUGGUAGAGAAUGAAAGGGCAAAAAUCCUGUGGGACUUCCAGAUUCAGACUGAUAGGAUGGUAAUGGCGAACCAACCAGACAUUGUAGUGGUGGAUAAAGAACAGAGGAAAGCCGUUGUGGUGGAUGUGGCAGUGCCAAGCGAUGGGAACAUCAGGAAGAAGGAACAUGAGAAACUGGAGAAAUACCAGGGACUCAGAGAAGAACUGGAGAAAGCCUGGAAAAUGAA
rnacentral:lncRNA from 1 species